rnacentral:rRNA from 1 species
CCUACGGGUGGCAGCAGUGGGGAAUAUUGCACAAUGGGGGAAACCCUGAUGCAGCGACGCCGCGUGAGUGAAGAAGGAUUUCGGUAUGUAAAGCUCUGUCAGUAGGGAAGAAAAUGACGGUACCUGAGUAAGAAGCCCCGGCUAACUACGUGCCAGCAGCCGCGGUAAUACGUAGGGGGCAAGCGUUAUCCGGAUUUACUGGGUGUAAAGGGAGCGUAGACGGGAGUGCAAGUCUGGAGUGAAAGGCGGGGGCUCAACCCCCGGACUGCUCUGGAAACUGUAAGGCUGGAGUGCAGGAGAGGUAAGUGGAAUUCCUAGUGUAGCGGUGAAAUGCGGAGAUAUUAGGAGGAACACCAGUGGCGAAGGCGACUUACUGGACUGUAACUGACGUUGAGGCUCGAAAGCGUGGGGAGCAAACAGGAUUAGAUACCCUAGUAGUC